rnacentral:misc_RNA from 1 species
GCCUUGGCAGACCAGAGAACCUGUAAAGCAUGUUCAAUGGCAAAUACAGGAUUCUUCACACUUAAAUACCAAUCCUUCUUCAAAUCAAUUUCUAUCUCCGAAUCAACUCUAAAGCUGAAAGGUCCUAUCAUCUGCUGCUGAAAAGAAAGUGAAGCACGCGGACAAAUUGCUUGUAGUGCCUCAACAUUUGGUACUUGAGAAUUGUAAAGACUGUAUGCUACAGAAGUUAGUCCAGAAAGAAGUUUUGACCCUGAAGGAAAGUCGAAGCUUGUAUGGACACGAGUAAGAUCCAGGAACAGCCUUUGGAAAUUUCCGUGCUGUGCAGUGAGGGAAGCAGAUGCAAAUGAAUCCACUGAAACAGCAGAAUUUGAAACUUGGGCUCGAAGGUCAAAAUCUUUCAGACCCCGUAAACUGCAUGAUUGUUGCCUUUUCGUUGAACUUUCUCCGAGAUAUGCAGAAAAAACAGCACCAAGUAUCCAUGAUGCUGAAAUAUGAGGAUUAGACAGGAAUAUAUCAUAUGGUUGCACCAUCUUUUGCAUAGACGCUUCACUGCGCCAAAGGUCAAUAUUUUUCUUCAAGGAAACUACACCUUUGGCAGUGAAACCUGGAAGCAAAGCAGCAGGAGGUGGUAAUUCAUCACUAUGCUGACCUUCAUACUGCUUGGGUGAACCUGCACAAUUAUUGAAAAAUAAAUGGUAGCUAGCACCAGAGUUGAGAGUUGCUGAUGCAAGAUCAAGUGCAAGUGAGAAUGGUACAUCCCAGUAACUCCCAUUCCCAUCAACAAAAAGUCCUGGCCAAGCUGCCUCCAUUGUAAGAUUAUGAUGAAGAAACUUAUGAUGAAGAACUGCUCUUUUUUGAGGCACCUUCUCAUCCCCAUAAGCAUCCAAACUUAUGAUCAAUGUAUCAUCCGGCGUUAGAAAUAGCUCUGAACAGAAGCCAAGGGCAUAAAAG